rnacentral:rRNA from 1 species
CAGUCGCCGCGGGAAUACGUAGGGUGCGAGCGUUAAUCGGAAUUACUGGGCGUAAAGCGUGCGCAGACGGUUUUGUAAGACAGGCGUGAAAUCCCCGGGCUCAACCUGGGAAUGGCGCUUGUGACUGCAAAGCUAGAGUGCGGCAGAGGGGGAUGGAAUUCCGCGUGUAGCAGUGAAAUGCGUAGAUAUGCGGAGGAACACCGAUGGCGAAAGCACUCUGCUGGGCCGACACUGACACUGAGAGACGAAAGCUAGGGGAGCAAAUGGGAUUAGAGACCCCCGUAGUCCCUGUCUCUUAUAC